UGUAUUAUCCGUUUUCAUGUUGCUAUUGAGCCUGUGAUUAUGCCGGACGGAUUGUGAUUGUGAGCCUGUGAUCAUGCCGGACGGAUUGUGAUUAUGAGCCUGUGACUAUGCCGGAAGGAUUGUGAUUGUGGGUCUGUGACUAUGUCGGGCGGAUUGUGACUGUGAGACUGUGACUAUGCUGGGCGAAUUGUGAUUUUGGCACGUGAGUUAUCCAUGUGGUUGUGAUUCAAGAUGUGGGCACAAGGUGCCGUGUAUAUGAUGGUGGGUUGAGACCCGGGACUUGCGACUAUGAUAUGAGUGAUACGGUGCAUGAAAUUGUUGCUCGAUCGUGCAAGGAGCAGCAGAGACAAAUUGAGCAGCUCAGCCCACAGCUUUGUCCGCCAUAAAAUCUGGCAUUUCAGAUCUCUCCCUCACUUCGUCUUGUGUCACUCUCAGAUAAGCCUGGUUCCUUCCAUUUUCUUUGCCGUAACAUUUUUGCAUAUAGAAUGGGAGCGUUGGUACCAUGGUAAAGUUGUCUCUAUGUUACCUAUAGGUCACGGGUUACGAGCG